GGCGCGGUAACAAAGCGGUUAUGUACCGGAUUGCAAAUCCUGAGUAGGUCGGUUCGACUCCGGCCCGCGCCUCCA
rnacentral:tRNA from 1 species